UACGUAGGGAGCGAGCGUUGUCCGGAAUUACUGGGUGUAAAGGGAGCGUAGGCGGAUUUGCAAGUUGAAUGUGAAAUUCAUGGGCUCAGCCCAUGAACUGCGUUCAAAACUGUAGGUCUUGAGUGAAGUAGAGGCAAAUGGAAUUCCUAGUGUAGCGGUGAAAUGCAUAGAUAUUAGGAGGAACACCAGUGGCGAAAGCGAUUUGCUGGGCUUUAACUGACGCUGAGGCUCGAAAGCAUGGGGAGCAAAC
rnacentral:rRNA from 1 species